ACCAGCUUACCCAGCACCCGCCUACAAACCAGCCCCGUACAAGGCAUACUAAUCGCUGACACCUUCAUUCAGACUUUUCAUUACAAACCCCCGCAGUCGUUGAUAAGCUGAAAUUUCCGUUAUAGAAACAGUACAGCUCAUAUUCCAUUCCGACAACAUCGGAAUGAACAACGUUUAAUUUAUUGUUGGUUAAUUUAUAAAUAAAUUAUUAAUUCAACAUAUUAAAUAUUUUGAAUCGUGU